AUUAGAGUAUAUACUUCUAUUGUUACUUUUUUCAAUUUAUUAAUGACAUACUGUAAACAACAUUAAAAAUAAUAAUCCCUUUCAUUUCUCAGCCCCAGCACAGCUGCCUCCUCCCUGGGGUUUCUGACACUCUCAGGAUGUGGGUUUUCACACUGUGUCUCUCGCACAGUAAUACGUGGCCGUGUCCUCAGAUCUCAGGCUGCUCAGCUCCGUGUAGGCUGUGCUGAUGGACGUGUCCCUGGUCAUGGUGACUCUGCCCUGAAACUUCUGUGCAUAGUUUGUGCCACCACUGUUAGGGUUGAUCCGUCCCAUCCACCCAAGCUCUUGUCCAGGGGCCUGUCGCACCCAGUGCAUAUAGUAGUCGGUGAAGAUGUAUCCAGAAGCCUUGCAGGAGACCUUCACUGAGGCCCCAGGCUUCUUCACCUCAGCUCCAGACUACACCAGUUGGACCUGGG
rnacentral:lncRNA from 1 species